rnacentral:rRNA from 1 species
CCUACGGGAGGCAGCAGUGGGGAAUAUUGCACAAUGGGGGAAACCCUGAUGCAGCAACGCCGCGUGAGUGAGGAAGUAUUUCGGUAUGUAAAGCACUAUCAGCAGGGAAUAAAAAAGAAGGUACCUGAAAAAGAAGACCCGGCUAACUACGUGCCAGCAGCCGCGGGAAGACGGCGGGUGCGCACGUUAAUCGGAAUUACUGGGCGUAAAGCGCUCGUAGGCGGUAUGUCAAGACAAGGGUGAAAUCCCCGUGCUCAACGUAAGGACUGCCUUUGAAACUGGCAAACUGGAGUGUAUGAGAGGAUAGUGGAAUUCCAGGUGUAGGAGUGAAAUGCGUAGAUAUCUGGAGGAACAUCAGUGGCGAAGGCGACUAUCUGGCACAUAACUGACGCUGAGGAGCGAAAGCGUGGGUAGCAAACAGGAUUAGAUACCCCUGUAGUC